rnacentral:lncRNA from 1 species
AAAUAUGUCUUGUCAGGUCAUUGUGAGACAACUUCAAAAACAAUUGGCUGAUCUCAAUAAACAGUGUGUGUCUGAGACUUCACUAGAACUUACAUCACAUUAUCACAUUAAUCACAAAGAUGAGAUAUAGGAUUUAAUGAAGAAAUGAUUUCAAGUCAAAAGUCAAAACUCAUGAGAGACAAGCAGAGACCAGUAAGAAACUUCUUUUGGAGAAACAACAGAUCAGAUCUUUAUUCACAACUCAUGCUAGGAGGCCAGUCCUAGAGUUACCUUGUGUUGGAAAUCUUACCGAUAGUUUGAGUCGACAGAAUACUUAUUUUAGAAGAAAAAUUCAUGAUUUCUUCCUGAAGCCUAUGACAUAAAAUAACAGUGCGAAGAACUACUUGUUCAAGGUUAUAUAAUAGUGUAACAUUGCCAAGAAGUGGAUUAUCUCAUCUUCAUCCUGUAAUUCCAGUGUUUGUCACAUGGUUGUUGAAUAAAUGAAUAAAGAAUGAGAAAGCCAGAAGCUCUGAUACGUAGUCAUAAUGAUAAUUAUUUCAAUGCACAACUAUGGGUGGUGCUGAACUACAAUCUAUAUUUUCUGCAACUGGCUCCUCUAGGAUCUACUAAUGAUUUAAAUCUAAAAGAUGAAGUUAGUAAAGCAUCAGAAAAAAAGAGUCCAAGAGUCCAUACCAUGGGAACCGAUUCUUCAUCUUUUAAGAAUACCAUAUGGAUACUUAUAAAUGGGCAUGAAUUAAGCAACUGGGCCUUUCAACAAUUUUGGAGAAGGCCAUUUCACACUUUUAAAAUAAAUGUGCUCCCAUAAGAUCAGGUAUGUUUUAAUACUAAAAUAACAGUGCACAUGUAUAAAAUAAAACUUAGUGGUACCUCUCUCU